rnacentral:rRNA from 1 species
GAUCUUGGUUCAGGAUGAACGCUAGCUACAGGCUUAACACAUGCAAGUCGAGGGGCAGCAUGGGGUAGCAAUACUCAGAUGGCGACCGGCGCACGGGUGAGUAACACGUAUCCAACCUGCCGCUUACUCGGGGAUAGCCUUUCGAAAGAAAGAUUAAUACCCGAUGGUAUAAAGAGUUCGCAUGUUCUCUUUAUUAAAGAAUUUCGGUAAGCGAUGGGGAUGCGUUCCAUUAGAUAGUUGGCGGGGUAACGGCCCACCAAGUCUACGAUGGAUAGGGGUUCUGAGAGGAAGGUCCCCCACAUUGGAACUGAGACACGGUCCAAACUCCUACGGGAGGCAGCAGUGAGGAAUAUUGGUCAAUGGACGAGAGUCUGAACCAGCCAAAAGUAGCGUGAAGGAUGACUGCCCUAUGGGUUGUAAACUUCUUUUAUAAGGGAAUAAAGUGAGGGACGUGUCCCUUUUUGUAUGUACCUUAUGAAUAAGGAUCGGCUAACUCCGUGCCAGCCGCGGC